rnacentral:lncRNA from 1 species
GGGCGCGCCUACAAAAUGGCGGCCUGGCGCCUGCGGCUGUGUCGGACAGGGGUUGGCGGCGGGCAGCCGGCUGUCGCGGGGACGUGGCCCCAGCACCCCCUGGGGGGGCGGCCGGACGCUGCUGAGGGAAAUCAGGGUGGAGAGAGAAUAACUAUACCCUCUGUCAGGAAAGAAGUAAUGCUGCACUUCAGUGGCUUCCCCCCUUUACAGGCUAUGUGGCAAGAUGAUGAUGGUGAGAGAAGGAAGUGCUUUUGGGAAGAAGUUCUCAAGUUCCUGGAUGGUCACCAGGGAAGAUAUCAAUCUGAGGCUAGCCACUGUUCAGCAGAGAAAGCAUGAAUUAUACUGGCAGAUGUAACUACAGGAAGUGUCGCUUGAUGUUUGGGGCUGACCAAUGCUAUGAGCUGCUGAAGGCCAGAAACAAGUCUUCUCCUCCACACAAGCAGCUGAGGUCCUUCUCCUGCCUGGCCUUAUAAGUUGGAGUGCAGUGAGCAGCACUCUUCACAGUCUUCUCAGAAGUCCAGUACAGUCAGAAGAAUGGGAAUGGUCUGGUUAAAAAUGAAGAGUUCAAGUGCUGGUGGAGAGCAAAGAGCUUUGUGGAGCUGCUGAGAGGGCUUCCCCUGAAUUUGCAAAUUGGAGAGUCAUCAGUCUCUGGUGAGGAGUGUGCUGGGAUCCCCACCCUGUCAGGCAGGAGAGAUCUGCGCUGGAGCAACUGUCCUGAGCGAUUUAGUAUGACUCUUUUUUCCCAGUUUUUUGGUUGUUACUGAGCUGCAUUGUUUAAAUUUAACUGUAAGAUUAAGGGUUGAGUGCAAAAUGGAGCUGUUUAGCAAGGGAUGCAACAUGUGCUUUCCUUUUAAUGUAAAAUCACAGAAUUCCAAGUUAUCCAUAAAAUCAAAUCCUGUGGAAAAGCAAUUUUGGAGUGGGAAAUUAAUUUUAACAUUGUGUUAUUUCCACUGUAAUAGAAGAUUAACAAAAAAUACCUUUGGGGGGGGGAGAUUGAGACACUUUUCCUGGAAAUGUCAAUAUAGAGUUUUAUGACAUUGCUAUAACACUUUGGUCUCGAUUGCUUCAAAAUAAAAAUUUGGCAACAUUCUACUUUGUAAGUCUC